CCUACGGGAGGCUGCAGUGGGGAAUAUUGGACAAUGGGGGGAACCCUGAUCCAGCCAUGCCGCGUGUGUGAAGAAGGCCCUCGGGUUGUAAAGCACUUUCAGUGAGGAAGAACGCCUGGUGGUUAAUACCCAUCAGGAAAGACAUCACUCACAGAAGAAGCACCGGCUAACUCCGUGCCAGCAGUCGCGGUAAUACGGAGGGUGCGAGCGUUAAUCGGAAUUACUGGGCGUAAAGCGCGCGUAGGUGGCUUGAUAAGCCGGUUGUGAAAGCCCCGGGCUCAACCUGGGAACGGCAUCCGGAACUGUCAAGCUAGAGUGCAGGAGAGGAAGGUAGAAUUCCCGGUGUAGCGGUGAAAUGCGUAGAGAUCGGGAGGAAUACCAGUGGCGAAGGCGGCCUUCUGGACUGACACUGACACUGAGGUGCGAAAGCGUGGGUAGCAAACAGGAUUAGAUACCCCGGUAGUC
rnacentral:rRNA from 1 species